rnacentral:lncRNA from 1 species
UCAAGAACUAUUUCUCGGAAUUACUAAAGUGUUUUCUUAACAAUCUUGGGAUACAGGGUUACGCAUCACCAGGCUUCCAGGCUGCUGGUGUGCGGACCUGGAGCCGGCGCGCAAGGUCUCAAUGGCAGCUACAACAGGACCUCAGGCUCUUUGCUCAAGCACUCUGAGCCGCCGCUCCCCUAUCCGUAAAAUGGGUCACACGGCAGCGUACAUACACCCGCGCGAGGAUCAAGUACGUGCACGCAAACGCUGACAACAGCGGCAGGCGCCUUUUAAGCGCUCAGGACAGCCAGAGCGGGAUGCACGCCUAGGCAGACAGGUAACACCCGCCUCGCGUUCACUUUUCCGGAGAAAUUCUCAAAUCUCACGGAGUGGCAACUGCGCAAGGGCGAAGCGGCGCAGUCUGGGGCCAGCUCCAGCGGGCGGGGCCUGGAGUCAGCCCUCUGCAGCCCACGCCCCUCACCGGCGCAGGUUUCCCCUAAGAUGCCAACUGAGCUGCGUUCCCCUCUCAGGCACACACUAUAAUUUCUGAAGGUGAUGGCAUGCACCGGAGUGCCCACCAGUUGUGUCCUGGCCACACUCCAGUGGAGGUCCCUGGAUGUCCUGCCCCCUGCAGGUAGUUGCCUCCUGUGAGCUCAUCUUUGAACUCUCUGUGGUACUAAAGGACGAGGAGUACAUGCAGGAUUGAAGAUAAUUUUCAGGACACACUUUAGCCAACAGUCUGAACCUUUGUUCUUCCUGACUGAGCCCUUGUAACAAAGAUGAGAACAUAGAACAUAGCCAGUUAAUUUGAGUUUGAAUUUAUUUUUUCACACCUGGUGAAGAAAAUAAUAAAAAUGUUUAGCAGUGAGAAACUAAAAAUGAAGAAAUGAAAAUAUCCACAGCCCCUGAAAAAUCAAGAGUUGACUAUAGG